rnacentral:lncRNA from 1 species
GAAUUUGACAAGGAUUACAUUAGAAUAUUCUUAUUCCUCAAUAAGAACAUGGAAGAAUCCAGGGAUCAGCAAUAACAGACUCUCAUACCACCCACCCCUCCUCCUGGGACAAAGAAACCGUGAUAACAGAACCUAGGCAGAGCUGGAGGCAGGACUGUGCCUCCUGAUAGGACCUAUUGUGACAGAGUAUUCAUCUACUGCCAGAGCUCCCAUAUCAGAGGGUGGAGGGGGUCAGAGAAGAAAUCCUCUCAUCUCUCUCAUGCCUCGAAUCUGCUGCCUAUUCUCCCUAUGACUAAAGCCAACUGGAUGCCAAGACACAAGAGCCUGGGAGGUUGAUACAGUGAUCAGCCUCUCAGAUACAGGAAGGGCAGUCAGUGGAUCCCAGAGGCAAAGGUCAGGAGAUCAAAUAGCACACAAUCCAAACACCUGAGUACCUCCACUUCCAGGAAAUGUCAUUCUCCUUUGACAUUUGCCUUGUGUGAGCUGCACCCUGAGCUCUAACAGUCUACAUGAACCUAUUGGUCCUAGAGAGAGGCCAGUGUCAGCCACAUGUCUCAUAACCUCACCUGACCCAAUGGACACUCGUGAUGUAAUGGGAUAGAAUGCAAAUCAUCACAAACCUUUUCUAUCUCCAAUAUAGAAUCCAAAAGGUUCUGUAUCAACCCAUGAGCCAUGCAAAGUCCAGAAUGCUUUAUAGGAAAGAUGAGAGGACCAUGGCUAAGGGAUCCUGACACUCUGGGCCCAGAAUAACUCAGCCCUUCCCCCUUUCCCAUUGUCAGUCCAUCUAUCAUCCUAUUCUGUCUUCCUCCACCUUCAGUAAGCACCUCCUGGAACCUAUGUCAGCCUGGGCUCUGGGCUGACUGUGAUUAACUGAGCAGAUACACGCACAAAGCUGGUCACUCUUGCGGGGCUCCGAGAAGCAGCUGCAGUAAUUACAGGGAAUUUCUGGAAUGGAGACUAAUGGUGCAGGUUCAGAUCUAAAACGCUUUUGAUCCUCUUCAUCAUUAAAAGGCCAUUAAAGGUACAACACAUAUAUUACCAGGCAUCAAAUCUGCAUUGAUGUAAAAAGAAAUUAGGCUAAUAAUUGUUCCCAAGGCCAUUAUCUCCAGUGAGGGAGGGCACGCGCCUUCCCCUGUGGUUCCGCAGAGGGCUUUCAUUGACCCAGAGCAGUUCAGUUUAGACAACAUUGAUUGAACCCUUUCUUGUGUGUCACUCUAACCAGACACCUGCAUCUGUGAAUACCCCAGUUUAAACUGUUGAGUUUCAAUGAUUUGCCCUCUAGUUUAUAGGCUGACUACUGGGAAGGAAAACAAAACAAAACAAAACAAAACACCACAGGUGAUAGAGAUGAGAAGUUCCACAUGACACAGUGAUCCUAGCAACAGAGGCAGAACCACUAUAAAUAUAACCGAAGAGACUGCAGAAGCUAGUUGAAUGCUUCAUGUUAGUAAGCAUUCACUCUGCAUCAGUUUCAUUUAAGAACUUCACCCACUACCCAAUGAAUCUCUCUUUCAGGCCCCAUGUGAGGACAAGAUUAAACUGUUCUUAUUGGUUUAGGUCUCAACUACCUUCUCCUAGCUACCAGCAAAGACUUCUAUCCCAAAGACCCACUGUCAGGUAAGCUCUCCUCAACCAGCCCCUCACAGCCAUAUUCCCAAGCAUCUACCAGGGUUCCAAGACUGUUGCUGAUAGAUUUAUGUUGAUAUAAUAAACACCAUGAUCAAAAACAACCUGGGAGAAAGGGAGGAUAUUUACAAACAGGUAACACUGAGAGAAUUAAAGGCAGGAGUUCAAGGCAGGAGCUGAGGCAGAAACUAUGACAGAGUGAUGCUUAUGCCUUGCUCACCUUGCUUCCUAUACAACCCACGACCAGGAGCCCAGAGAUACUACUUCUCACAGGGACUCUCCCACACCUAUCAACAAUUGAGAAAAUUCCCCCAUAGACAUGUCCACGGGCCAAUGUGAAGGAGGCCAUUCCAUCUGAGAUUCCCUCUUCCCGGGUGACUGUAGUUGGUGUCAAAUUGACAAAAACUAACUAGCACACAGACCUCUGACCUGGUCCCUGGUUGUCACGCACUGGAUCUUAUUUUUCAGCCAGGUGUAAAACUGAGUAACAAGCCUCAGACUCUCAGGUCCUCCAAGAUGAAAAAUGGGAUGUCGAAAAAUAGUUCUAAGCAAUACAUAAGGUAUGAAUUUCUCCAGAGAAGAAUCAGGGUGAGAGACAGAGAUAAAAUAAGCAGCAAAACAGACAGAGGGACUCAUAGAAGCAGACUGUUAAAGACAUAGCUUACAAGUUUUAGGGUCUAGACCACAAUAGCUUCAGAAUGAAUCUAAUCGUGGUAUUGAAAAAAAAAAAAAAGAUUAAAAAGACGGUCGUCUGCAUAGGUAUGAGUUCUCAACUUCAGAUGCUGAGGCAUAAAUCUGACUGGAGCCUGUAAAGGGGGUGCUGGAUUUACGCCUAGAGGAGACCAGAAAUGGGCGGAUGGUCCUUGCCUCUGUAGCUGCCUUCUUUCUAGCUCUUAACCAAUAAGAGACUGUUUAAGUCAAUGCUGGUAACUUAAAUAUUUUUCUAAUAUCUCUAUACAAGGAUGUAAUUACCUUUCACACUGCUAGAGCAAAUACUCUAGGCAACUUAUAGAGAAAAAUGUUUAUUUUGGCUUAGAGGUUCCAGCUCAGGGCUGGUUGGCCUUGUCUUUAAGUUUGUGGUGAGGCUGCACCCCACAGUAAAGGCACCUGGCACAACAGAAGAGCUUGCUCCAGGAUUGGGGAGUGAGAAGGAAGAGACAACACAGCCCCACAACCCCUGGGUGCACACUCCUAAGGACUUAAAGACCUCCCACUGGGCCUUACCCCCUGCUGUCUCCACUGUGCUUCCACAGCCCUGGACAGGGACCCAGCCUUUACUACAUGGACUUUUGGAGGACACUUAGGGUCUGAUCAAGAGCAAAAAUGACAUGGAGUGGUGUCUCCGCAAGUAGUGAAAUGAUUGCAGCAUUAUGUGUGUGGUUACACAAGCACUCAUGGCUUUAUGUGUGUGCUUACAGAAGCACUCAUGGGUAGCCAGAUGCAGGUAGAUAUCUAUGAGUUCGAGACCAGCCUGGUUUACAGAGUGAGCUCCAGAACAACCAGGGCUAUAAAGAGAAACCCCAUCUCAAACAAACAAAAGAAAUGGUUAACACUGGCUACCCAUGAGAAAUAGGCAGAUGGCUGGAAGGCUGAAGUUGGAGGGAGAAUUUUCACUUUAGUAUUUGUAAGAUGUUGAAUGUAACUUCUCUAUUCAAAACAUAAAAUGAGAUCAAAUCACUUUAAGUGAACGUGGGAGGGAGCUAUCAUUUAUUGAAAUUGUAUCAGACACUUUGCAUAUUAUUUUUAGUUUUACAUAGUUUUUUUUAACUUAAAAACAUGAUAUAAAAAGCCCAAAAAACACAAAUGUGC